rnacentral:rRNA from 1 species
CCCCUAGAUGUUCUGGGCGGCCCGCGCACUACAUUGGCACUGGCAACAAGAUCCUAGAUCUGGUAUUUCGGGGUAUUCUACCAACUGGUGUCGUGACUGGGAUUAACCCCUGCAAUUGUUGGUUAUGAACGAGGAAUUCCUUGUAAUCACGGUUUAUCAACCCGUGUUGAAUGCGUCCCUGCCCUUUGUACACACCGCCCGUCGCUCCUACCGAUGAAUCGUCCGGUGAAGUUCAUGGAGUCGCGGCUGCUCCAGCUGUUUUCGAAGUGAAAUAGACCUCAUGAUUUAGAGGAAGGAGAAGUCGUANCA